rnacentral:rRNA from 1 species
UACGAAGGGGGCUAGCGUUGUUCGGAUUUACUGGGCGUAAAGCGCACGUAGGCGGGUCGUUAAGUCAGGGGUGAAAUCCCGGAGCUCAACUCCGGAACUGCCUUUGAUACUGGCGACCUUGAGGCUGGAAGAGGUUAGUGGAAUUCCCAGUGUAGAGGUGAAAUUCGUAGAUAUUGGGUGGAACACCGGUGGCGAAAGCGGCUCUCUGGUCCGGUCCUGACGCUGAGGCGGCGAAAGCGUGGGGAGCAAACAGG